AGCAGCCGCGGUAAUUCCAGCUCCAAUAGCGUAUAUUAAAGUUGUUGCAGUUAAAAAGCUCGUAGUUGAAUUUCGGGGUCAGUAGGUUGGUCGUGCCACUGGUAUGCACUGGUCUCACUGAUUCCUCCCUCUUGUAGAACCGUAAUGCCAUUAAUUUGGUGUUGCGGGGAAACAGGACUGUUACUUUGAAAAAAUUAGAGUGUUUAAAGCAGGCUAACGCUUGAAUACAUUAGCAUGGAAUAAUGAAGUAGGACGUUCGAUCCUAUUUUGUUGGUUUCUAGGAUUGACGUAAUGAUUAAUAGGGAUAGUUGGGGGCAUUAGUAUUCAAUUGUCAGAGGUGAAAUUCUUGGAUUUAUUGAAGACUGACUACUGCGAAAGCAUUUGCCAAGGAUGUUUUCAUUAAUCAAGAACGAAAGUUAGGGGAUCGAAGACGAUCAGAUACCGUCGUAGUCUUAACCAUAAACUAUGCCGACUAGGGAUCGGAUGAUGUUAAUUUUUAAUGACUCAUUCGGCGCCUUAA
rnacentral:rRNA from 1 species